rnacentral:lncRNA from 1 species
UAAGGGGGACUUAACUAGGAAGUUCUCAAAGCAGGAAAGCUGAGCCUGAGUGCCCCAGAGGUCAUCGGUGGGGAGACGGCCUUGAGGGGAGGGCUUUAUCUAGGUGGACUUGCUACCCGGAGUCGGGCAGGAGCAAAUGCGUGCUAUUUCUGCCAAAGGUUACGUGCCAAGAGGAGCAGCUGACAUCAUUGGGAGCGCCUCUGAUGACGGCACACGCAGUGAAGAAAUGAUACCGAUGUCUAGACCUGCUCAGUGCUUUGGAACCUUAACCAUGUACGUACGGAAUUUGAGGGAACAGAUAACAGAGCCUGCCUCUCAGGCUAUUUCAGCUAUCUCUUCUUUCAUCUUUGCUGCUCCUGAAAAAAAAUUGUCCGGAGACGAUUGGAGCACUACCAGCAUUGAAACUCACUCACACUGA